rnacentral:rRNA from 1 species
GACGAACGCUGGCGGCGUGCCUAAUACAUGCAAGUUGAGCGCUGAAGGUUGGUACUUGUACCAACUGGAUGAGCAGCGAACGGGUGAGUAACGCGUGGGGAAUCUGCCUUUGAGCGGGGGACAACAUUUGGAAACGAAUGCUAAUACCGCAUAAAAACUUUAAACACAAGUUUUAAGUUUGAAAGAUGCAAUUGCAUCACUCAAAGAUGAUCCCGCGUUGUAUUAGCUAGUUGGUGAGGUAAAGGCUCACCAAGGCGAUGAUACAUAGCCGACCUGAGAGGGUGAUCGGCCACAUUGGGACUGGGACACGGCCCAAACUCCUUCGGGAAGCAGCAGUAGGGGAUCUUCGGCAAUGGACGGAAGUCUGACCGAGCAACGCCGCGUGAGUGAAGAAGGUUUUCGGGUCGUAAAACUCUGUUGGUAGAGAAGAAAGUUGGUGAGAGUGGAAAGCUCAUCAAGUGACGGUAACUACCCAGAAAGCGACGGCUAACUACGUG